UUGCCUUAUUCUCACAACAAUAAAUUGCUUCUCUGUGUUGCAGUUAAUGCACCACAAGUAGUUGGAUUUUCGUUAAACAAUGUGAAACUCAAAACAUUUAACUAUAACGGACGCUCUACUCAGUCCAUACCAAGUGGUAACAAAAUGUUACAUUGUGCAGACAUUGUUGAACGAUAUGCGGAAAAGAACUCCUGAAACUAGUAGCAAUAUAAAACCACAUUCUCUCAUACUGUUCUGUUUUGAUUUGCACAACACACUAACACAUGCGCAUUCCACCAUAAAUUACUGAUACUUAACAAUUUACCAAGCGGUUGCACAAAGUGGUGUUAGUGAGAAAUUGAUAUACCCAGUAGCUGACCACAGCAAGCUCCGCUCUUGAAGGUUGACUAGUUUGGCAUCGAUUCAGUUGAUUUCGCGUUUACUGCAAUAAUUGUAGUUAUUUUUUCACGUCUUCUAAAUGCAGUUCAGUGCAAUGCAAGGCCAGUGUCCAGAAAAUUAUAAAACUAACAAUGUUGUAUGGAAAAUUGACCAACAUGCCUUUGCCCAAUCAUAUUUUUCAAUGGUGAAAGUUAGACGGGCGAACCAGCCACAACUUAACCUCGACGCGGAACAAAAAUUAAACGAUGUGUUAAAGAUAGAAUAUUGUUGCAGAAAAUGCUGUUCGCACGUCAAAUUAGUCGUUGAGCUGGAGCCUCCGGAACAUCAACCAUACGACCACUGUUUUGAAAAGACCAUCCAGGAAGGAGUGUUGGCUUUGUUUAGUGGAUGUUACCAGAGUGGAUGAGGAACUACCGACAAAAGGAUUCGAGGAGCUGCUUGGCGAUGCACUCGGUGGAGCGUUUUCGGAUUACCGCAGUUGCUCUCAAUUGCAAGAGGAAGUGCGAAAAAAAAACAGGACGAGGCGAUUCGCUUUGUUUCGGUCGAUUUUGGUAUUUCGGCAUAAAAUCACCUAGUGCAUCCUGAAGAAUAAAUACCGACGAUGACGAGUUACAGCUGGGUGCCCAGGAGGGUGUCAUUCAUAUAUUCCGGUUACUGGGGCAUUUCCAGGAAGACCUUUACCAGGAUCGCGCACAUCACGAUCGAAACCUGCACGGCGAUGCGAGCUUUUAUUAACUUGGACAACAGCCGCUUGUUGAUGUGCAGCCAAUUCCAGACC